rnacentral:rRNA from 1 species
CGAAUACCCCGGGGGGUAGAGCACUGGAUGGGUAAUGGGGCCCCACAGGCUUACUGAUCCUAACCAAACUCCGAAUACCCGGGAGUACUAGAUGGCAGACACACUGCGGAUGCUAACGUCCGUAGUGGAGAGGGAAACAACCCUGACCUCCAGCUAAGGCCCCUAAUUCAUGGCUAAGUGGGAAAGCAGGUGGGACGACCAUAACAACCAGGAGGUUGGCUUAGAAGCAGCCAUCCUUUAAAGAUAGCGUAACAGCUCACUGGUCUAAAUAAGUUGUCCUGCGGCGAAGAUGUAACGGGGCUCAAGCCAUGAGCCGAAGCUGAGGAUGCACGUAGUGCAUGGUAGCAGAGCGUAGUGUGACAUAACACAACGCCUCCUUAGCUCCUUCGGGAGCAUUGGAGGCGAGGUGUUUUCGAUGAAGCCGGGGCGUGAGCCAACCGGUGGAGAGAUCACUAGCGAGAAUGAUGACAUGAGUAGCGACAAACAGGGUGAGAGACCCUGUCGCCGAAAGUCCAAGGGUUCCUGCUUAAAGCUAAUCUGAGCAGGGUAAGCCGGCCCCUAAGGCGAGGCAGAAAUGCGUAGUCGAUGGGAACCAGGUUAAUAUUCCUGGGCCAGGAGAUGGUGACGGAUUGCGAAGAUUGUUCCUCCUUAUUGGAUUGGAGGGGCCGUUUAGCAGUUCCUGGAAAUAGCCCUCCGUAGGACCGUACCCUAAACCGACACAGGUGGACUGGUAGAGAAUACCAAGGCGCUUGAGAGAACGAUGUUGAAGGAACUCGGCAAAAUACCUCCGUAAGUUCGCGAGAAGGAGGCCCGUUCAGUAGGCAACUAUUGGGCGGGGGCACAAACCAGGGGGUGGCGACUGUUUACUAAAAACACAGGGCUCUGCGAAGUCGCAAGACGACGUAUAGGGUCUGACGCCUGCCCGGUGCUGGAAGGUUAAAAGGAGGGGUGCAAGCUCUGAAUUGAAGCCCCAGUAAACGGCGGCCGUAACUAUAACGGUCCUAAGGUAGCGAAAUUCCUUGUCGGGUAAGUUCCGACCUGCACGAAUGGCGUAACGACUUCCCCGCUGUCUCCAACAUCGACUCAGCGAAAUUGAAUUG